UACGAAGGGGGCUAGCGUUGUUCGGAAUUACUGGGCGUAAAGCGUGCGCAGGCGGCCUUCCAAGUCAGGGGUGAAAGCCCAGAGCUCAACUCUGGAAUUGCCUUUGAGACUGUGAGGCUUGAGUACGGGAGAGGUGAGUGGAAUUCCCAGUGUAGAGGUGAAAUUCGUAGAUAUUGGGAAGAACACCGGUGGCGAAGGCGGCUCGCUGGCCCGAAACUGACGCUCAUGCACGACAGCGUGGGGAUCAAACAGG
rnacentral:rRNA from 1 species